GAUGAACGCUGGCGGCGUGCCUAAUACAUGCAAGUCGAGCGAACAGACGAGGAGCUUGCUCCUUCGACGUUAGCGGCGGACGGGUGAGUAACACGUAGGUAACCUACCUAUAAGACUGGGAUAACUUCGGGAAACCGGAGCUAAUACCGGAUAAUAUUUCGAACCGCAUGGUUCGAUAGUGAAGGAUGGCUUUGCUAUCACUUAUAGAUGGACCUGCGCCGUAUUAGCUAGUUGGUAAGGUAACGGCUUACCAAGGCAACGAUACGUAGCCGACCUGAGAGGGUGAUCGGCCACACUGGAACUGAGACACGGUCCAGACUCCUACGGGAGGCAGCAGUAGGGAAUCUUCCGCAAUGGGCGAAAGCCUGACGGAGCAACGCCGCGUGAGUGAUGAAGGUCUUCGGAUCGUAAAACUCUGUUAUUAGGGAAGAACAAACGUGUAAGUAACUGUGCACGUCUUGACGGUACCUAAUCAGAAAGCCACGGCUAACUACGU
rnacentral:rRNA from 1 species